UACGAAGGGGCCUAGCGUUGCUCGGAAUUACUGGGCGUAAAGCGCACGUAGGCGGCUUUCUAAGUCGGGGGUGAAAUCCUGGAGCUCAACUCCAGAACUGCCCUUGAUACUGAGGAGCUCGAGUCCGGAAGAGGUGAGUGGAACUCCGAGUGUAGAGGUGAAAUUCGUAGAUAUUCGGAAGAACACCAGUGGCGAAGGCGGCUCACUGGUCCGGUACUGACGCUGAGGUGCGAAAGCGUGGGGAGCAAACAGG
rnacentral:rRNA from 1 species